AUUCUGACAGAGCCAUUUGCAUCGGUACUUUUUUGCCUAAUGUCAGGACUUGGGACACAGCAGCGGCCAACCUGGAGGCGUGCAGUGCAAUGCAAUGCAAGAGUGAAAGGCUGUGGGUUAAGCGUCCAAACCCAACAACAUAGGAAUACCGCUAAAGAUGUCGCAAAACGAGCUGAAUAAAUUAAAAACACUUGAAGGCGUGGUGCAAAACGUAACAUAAGGAGAGCUGAAGCGAAGCAUUUGCUUUCGUUCAUUAGCGAGAUACCCUCCCUAUCACAUUGUCACCGUGCUGUGAGGGCUCUCCCCGACACAGCCACACCGAACCGCCCGCGAGACGGACACCACCUCCCAGUGCACAGCACGUGACUGCGGGGUGUCGUUAUCGAACCUCUCCUGAUAACUCGCUAUCAGCCGGUAUUUUUAACUGCUCCUCCGCCCCGGCUCCAUGCCUGCCGGCCGCGCGUCCCGUGCUAAGCGGAGCCCCUUCCGCGGACGUCCUUCUGGGCCUCAGGCAGGGCGGGGAGCGGCACCGAGGUCCCACUCAGCCUCCUCGUUCUCUCAACGCGGAACCGUCCCGCAGCGCCCCGUUCCUACUUCAGCCGCCGCCCCAACCUCCCCCCGACGGCUUUUGGAGGAGAGC
rnacentral:lncRNA from 7 species